CUCUGCACGAAUUUUUUUUCAAGACUAUUUCUACUUCGCUGUUUGCUUGCACGAUUUUUUUUUCUCUGACGUAAUGGCUGCACGAAUUUUUUUUCCAAGCAUUUUCCUUUGCACGAAUUUUUUUUUUUGAAUUUUCAACCCCCCUCCCGGGAUUUCUAAUGGUCCGCCCCUUAAAUUUCCGUUACAGGUGUAUUGUCAGCUACAGAGUACAGUCGUAUCUACAUUUAAUUGGCAGAUCAGUAGAAAAUUUGCAAGUAGAUUUUAACAAUAUAAUAUAAUUGUCGCCCACACCAGGAUGCUGUUGUGACUCAUGUUGACACAAACAAAAUUUGAACUUUUUGGUGCGAUUAGACAG